GCGCAGUUGGCGCAAUGGAUAGCGCAUAGUCCUCCUAUUUGCCAUUGUCAAAGAAAAACUCCCUACUAUGGGCAGUAAAACUUUGGCUAUAUAGUGAAAGACUGGGGUUGCGGGUUCGAGUCCCGUGCUGCGUG
rnacentral:tRNA from 1 species